AAAAAAAGGAGUUAAAAUAAUAGGUGGAAAGUAAUAUUAUGAUAAACUAAAAUUCAUUUAUUUUUCAACAAAUACUUUUAGGAAAUAAUUCGGUGGGGGUUUAUUCUGUAUGCAUUGUGUGAAAUUACAGAUGUUUCUGAAUGUCUCAACUAAAGAUAUUUUUUCUAAGUUCUAUUUCAGAAGUGAAACAAAGAAAGUGCUUUUCAGAAGGCCAUUAAAAUAAUGAAUCAGACUGAAAGAUCUAUUCUCUACAGAAAACUAUUAAUACUUCUAUAAUAACAACAACAAUUACAAUGAUACUAAUAAUGUUUUCUUGCACAGACUGUGCUAAGUUCAAUCACCAUUGGAGCAGCUGAAAUGGAAACAACAAAUUACAAAGCAAAAGGAUUCUGGAGGAUAUAUCUGUAAUUUCUCUAAAAAUUGCUCCCUGCAUCACUCAUAUUCAAAUGAGUCUGUGAGAUCAAUCCACACUAGUCUGCCAACUGAUCUUUCAGCUUCCACCAUUCUCCAAUCAGAAGCCAGGAUGAACUUUUAAUUAUAAAUUAGAAUAUGUCAUUUGCUUCCUUGAAACACUUCAAUGGGGGCUUCCCUGGGUGGUCUAGCAGUUAAGAAUCUGACUGCCAAUACAGGGAACGCGGGCUCAAUUCCUGAUCCAGGAAGAUUCCACGUGUCACGGAGCAAGUAAGCCCAUGUACCGCAACUGCUGAGCCCACACAAAUUAGAGCCCUCCUUCGCAACAAGAGAAGACACCACAGUGAGAAGCCUGCACGGCCCAACUAUGCGGCAGUCCCCACUCACUGCAGCCAAAGAAAGCCUGUGCGUAGCGACAAAAACCUAGUGGAGCCAAAAGUAAAUCAAAAAAUCUUAAAAAAAAAAAAAAAAAGCCACCUGGAGCAUUCCCAUUUCCUUAGAAUGAAAUAGAAAUUUUCACCAGGGCUUACCCAGACCCACUUCCCCUUUGCCCACCCGUCUUCACUUCUUCCCACUCUCCCUCUGGUUGACAUACUUUAUUACCAUGUUUCCAACAUGUUCCCUUCAGUCCCACCACCAGAGGAUCUGAAGAAAGCUUCCCUUCUCUGUUGCAAUUUUGUGGGGUUUUCACAUUUGGAUCUCGGCUUAUAAGUCAUCGUCUCAGAGAGGCCCUUUCUGCCUUCUCUGACCAGGCAGAGGAUCAUGUAGGGCACUGAGAAAGGGUUCAACAGUGGUUUAUUAGAUUAGUGAGAAAGGGGAGUGAGAGUGUUUUAUACACUAUUAAGCAUAAAAUGCAUGUGAACAUUUGUUAGUUGUUUUUUUUUAAGUAACAAAUACAUGUAAUAAAAUGUACACUAAUAAAUGAGACCAUGUCUUCAUGGUCACUAUGAGAGAAA